rnacentral:rRNA from 1 species
GAGUUUGAUCCUGGCUCAGGACGAACGCUGGCGGCGUGCCUAAUACAUGCAAGUAGAACGCUGAAGACUUUAGCUUGCUAAAGUUGGAAGAGUUGCGAACGGGUGAGUAACGCGUAGGUAACCUGCCUACUAGCGGGGGAUAACUAUUGGAAACGAUAGCUAAUACCGCAUAACAGCAUUUAACCCAUGUUAGAUGCUUGAAAGGAGCAAUUGCUUCACUAGUAGAUGGACCUGCGUUGUAUUAGCUAGUUGGUGAGGUAACGGCUCACCAAGGCGACGAUACAUAGCCGACCUGAGAGGGUGAUCGGCCACACUGGGACUGAGACACGGCCCAGACUCCUAAGGGAGGCAGCAGUAGGGAAUCUUCGGCAAUGGGGGCAACCCUGACCGAGCAACGCCGCGUGAGUGAAGAAGGUUUUCGGAUCGUAAAGCUCUGUUGUAAGAGAAGAACGUGUGUGAGAGUGGAAAGUUCACACAGUGACGGUAACUUACCAGAAAGGGACGGCUAACUACGUGCCAGCAGCCGCGGUAAUACGUAGGUCCCGAGCGUUGUCCGGAUUUAUUGGGCGUAAAGCGAGCGCAGGCGGUUUAAUAAGUCUGAAGUUAAAGGCAGUGGCUUAACCAUUGUUCGCUUUGGAAACUGUUAGACUUGAGUGCAGAAGGGGAGAGUGGAAUUCCAUGUGUAGCGGUGAAAUGCGUAGA